AUACGUAGGGUGCAAGCGUUAAUCGGAAUUACUGGGCGUAAAGCGUGCGCAGGCGGUUUUGUAAGACAGUGGUGAAAUCCCCGGGCUCAACCUGGGAACUGCCAUUGUGACUGCAAGGCUGGAGUGCGGCAGAGGGGGAUGGAAUUCCGCGUGUAGCAGGGAAAUGCGUAGAUAUGCGGAGGAACACCGAUGGCGAAGGCAAUCCCCUGGGCCUGCACUGACGCUCAUGCACGAAAGCGUGGGGAGCAAACAGGAUUAGAUACCCUGGUAGUCCACGCCCUAAACGAUGUCAACUGGUUGUUGGGGAUUUACUUUCUCAGUAACGAAGCUAACGCGUGAAGUUGACCGCCUGGGGAGUACGGCCGCAAGGUUAAAACUCAAAUGAAUUGACGGGG
rnacentral:rRNA from 1 species